rnacentral:rRNA from 1 species
GGAGCCGUAGCGAAAGCGAGUUUUAACUGAGCGUUCAGUUACUUGACGUAGACCCGAAACCGGGCGACCUACCCAUGAGCAGGAUGAAGCGAAAGUAAAAUUUCGUGGAGGUCCGAACCCACGAGCGUUGAAAAGCUCGGGGAUGACUUGUGGGUAGCGGUGAAAUUCCAAUCGAGCCCGGAGAUAGCUGGUUCUCCCCGAAAUAGCUUUAGGGCUAGCCUCAAGGUGAGAGAUACGGAGGUAGAGCACUGAAUGUCCUAGGGGGUAUUGCACCUACCGAAGACUAUCAAACUCCGAAUGCCGUCAUCUUAUACUUGGGAGUCAGACUGUGGGUGAUAAGAUUCAUAGUCGAAAGGGCAACAGCCCAGAUCGUCAGCUAAGGUCCCUAAAUGUAAGUUAAGUGGUAAAGGAUGUGGGAUUGCACAGACAACCAGGAUGUUGGCUUAGAAGCAGCCACUCAUUCAAAGAGUGCGUAAUAGCUCACUGGUCGAGUGAUCCUGCGCCGAAGAUUUCCGGGGCUAAAACUUACUACCGAAGCUACGGCAUCAGUAAUGAUGGGUAGGGGAGCUUCCCAUACGGGUUGAAGCAUGACCGUAAGGACAUGUGGACAGUAUGGGAGUGAGAAUGUUGGCAUGAGUAGCGAGAUGUGGGGGGGAAUCCCACAGGCCGUAAACCCAAGGUUUCCAGGGGAAGGUUCGUCCGCCCUGGGUUAGUCGGGACCUAAGCUGAGGCCGAAAGGCGUAGGUGAUGGACAACAGGUUGAUAUUCCUGUACUACCGAUAACCGUUUGAGAGAAGGGAUGACACAGUAGGAUAAGCUAAGCACACUGUUGGUUAUGUGUGCCCAAGCAUUGAGGCAGUCAAAGUAGGCAAAUCCGCUUUGAUAAUGCUGGGAUGUGAUAGGGAGCGAAAUUUAGUAGCGAAGUAGCUGAUUUCACACUGUCAAGAAAAGUCUCUAUCGAGGUUAAAGGUACCCGUACCGCAAACCGACACAGGUGGGUGAGGAGAGUAUCCUAAGGCCAGCGAUGGAACGGUUGUUAAGGAAUUCGGGAAAACGACCCCGUAACUUAGGGAUAAGGGGUGCCACCAUCAGGUGGACGCAGGGAAUAGGCCCAAGCGACUGUUUACCAAAAACAUAGGUUUCUGCUAAGUCGCAAGACGAUGUAUAGGAGCUGACGCCUGCCCGGUGCUGGAAGGUUAAGGGGAUCUGUUAGAGCAAUCGAAGCAGUGAACUUAAGCCCCAGUAAACGGCGGCCGUAACUAUAACGGUCCUAAGGUAGCGAAAUUCCUUGUCGGGUAAGUUCCGACCCGCACGAAAGGCGUAACGAUUUGGGCACUGUCUCA